UAAACGUCUCAGUUCGGAUUGUAGUCUGCAACCCGACUACAUGAAGCUGGAAUCGCUAGUAAUCGCGGAUCAGAAUGCCGCGGUGAAUACGUUCCCGGGUCUUGUACACACCGCCCGUCACACCAUGGGAGUUGGUAACGCCCGAAGUCAGUGACCCAACCAAAUAGGAGGGAGCUGCCGAAGGCGGGACUGAUAACUGGGGUGAAGUCGUAACAAGGUAUC
rnacentral:rRNA from 1 species